GACGAACGCUGGCGGCGUGCUUAACACAUGCAAGUCGAGCGGUAAGGCCCCUCCGGGGGAACACGAGCGGCGAACGGGUGAGUAACACGUGAGCAACCUGCCCCCGACUCCGGGAUAAGCGGUGGAAACGCCGUCUAAUACCGGAUACGACCAACCGGCUCAUGCCGGGCGGUGGAAAGGUUUUUCGGUUGGGGAUGGGCUCGCGGCCUAUCAGCUUGUUGGUGGGGUAAAGGCCUACCAAGGCGAUUACGGGUAGCCGGCCUGAGAGGGCGAACGGCCACACUGGGACUGAGACACGGCCCAGACUCCUGCGGGAGGCAGCAGUGGGGAAUCUUGCGCAAUGGGCGAAAGCCUGACGCAGCGACGCCGCGUGGGGGAUGACGGCCUUCGGGUUGUAAACUCCUUUUACCACUCACGCAGGCCCGGGGUUCUCUCCGGGUUGACGGUAGGUGGGGAAUAAGGACCGGCUAACUACGUGCCAGCAGCCGCCGCCGUAA
rnacentral:rRNA from 1 species